rnacentral:lncRNA from 1 species
CUGUUACCAACUUGGGUGAAAUAAUAGAUGACGUAUUUAUGCAAAGCGGUAAAUGAUCAUUAAAAAUUGAUAGUUUUUAUCAAAAUUAAUGUAACUGUCUAUGUCAGAAGUGGCAAAAGAUCGAUUGUUAGUCCUUGGAACAAGGUUUGCCACUUAUGAACAUGAAAAUGCAAAAAAAAAUAUUAGUAAUCAAUUACCUAUGAGCUCAUCCAUACUUCACCAUUCUGUUGCAAAUACAGCAAAUACAGAUAAAGCAUCUUUUUGGAAAAAAAAUUCUAGUAAAGUGCCUGGAAGACCUGUUUAUGGUGCUCAACAC